UGGGGAAUAUUGCGCAAUGGGCGAAAGCCUGACGCAGCAACACCGCGUGAGGGAUGACGGCCUUCGGGUUGUAAACCUCUUUCAGCUCCGACGAAGCGAAAGUGACGGUAGGAGCAGAAGAAGCACCGGCUAACUACGUGCCAGCAGCCGCGGUAAUACGUAGGGUGCAAGCGUUGUCCGGAAUUAUUGGGCGUAAAGAGCUCGUAGGCGGUCCGUUGCGUCUGCCGUGAAAACCCGGAGCUCAACUCCGGGCCUGCGGUGGAUACGGGCGGACUAGAGUCCGGUAGGGGGAGACUGGAACUUCCUGGUGUAGCGGUGGAAUGCGCAGAUAUCAGGAGGAACACCGGUGGCGAAGGCGGGUCUCUGGGGCCGGAACUGACGCUGAGGAGCGAAAGCGU
rnacentral:rRNA from 1 species